GAUGAACGCUGGCGGCGUGCUUAACACAUGCAAGUCGAGCGGACAGACGCGGCGCUUGCUUGGCGGAUGUUAGCCGCGCAGGGGAGUGAAACGCGUGGAACACCUCCCUAUCAGACUGGGAUAACUAGGAGAAACCGGAGCUAACACGGGAUAAUAUUUUGAUCCGCGGGGUUGAAAGGUGAAAUACGGUGUUGCGGUCACUAAUAGAUGGAUCCGCGCUGCAUUAGCUGGUUGGUAGGGUAACGGCUUACGAAGGCAACGAUGCGUGGCCGACGUGUCAGGGGGAUCGCCCACCCUGGAGCGUGGACACGCUCCAUACUCCUACGGGAGGCAGCAGUAUGGAAUCUUCCGCAAUGGUCGAAAGCCUGACGGAGCAGCGCGGCGCGUGUGAUGAAGGCCUUCGGUGCGUAAUGCCCUGUUAUUAGUGAUGAACCGAUUUGUAAGUAGCCGUGCAGAUCGUGACGGUACCUAAUCAGAAAGCCCCGGCUAACUACGUG
rnacentral:rRNA from 1 species